GAUAAGAACUCUCCGAAAAAAUUACGCUGUUAUCCCUAAGGUAAGUUAAUCUUAUAAUCAAAAAUUCUGGAUCAAAAAAAACAUAAAUUAAUGAAAAAAAUAUUAAAAGUUAAAUAAAUUUUAAUGUCACCCCAACAGAACUUUAUAUUCUAAAAAAUAGUUUAAUUAACAAAAAACAAUAAUUAAUAAAUAAAGUAAACUUCUAUAGGGUCUUCUCGUCCUAUAAAAAAAUUUUAGCUUUUUAACUAAAAAAUUAAAUUCAAAAUAAUUAAAAAAAGAAAGUUUAUUUUUCAUCAAACCAUUCAUACUAGCCUUCAAUUAAAAGACAAAUGAUUAUGCUACCUUCGUACAGUUAAAAUACCGCAGCCUUUUAAUUAAAAAAAAUCAAUGGGCAGGCCUGAUCUUAAAUUAAAGUCAAAAGACC
rnacentral:rRNA from 1 species